UACAGAGGCCUCGAGCGUUAGGCGGAAUCACUGGGCUUAAAGCGUGUGUAGGCGGACUUCUAAGUACCUUGUGAAAUCCCACGGCUUACCCGUGGAACGGCUGGGUAUACUGGUUGUCUUGAGCCACUUAGGGGCUACCGGAACAAAUGGUGGAGCGGUGAAAUGCGUAGAUAUCAUUUGGAACGCCAAUGGUGAAAACAGGUGGCUGGGAGUGUGCUGACGCUGAGAAGCGAAAGCAUGGGGAACGAACAGG
rnacentral:rRNA from 1 species